GACGAACGCUGGCGGCGUGCUUAACACAUGCAAGUCGAACGGUAAGGCCCUUCGGGGUACACGAGUGGCGAACGUGUGAGUAACACGUGGGUGAUCUGCCCUGCACUUCGGGAUAAGCCUGGGAAACUGGGUCUAAUACCGGAUAGGACCACUGCCUGCAUGGGUGGUGGUGGAAAGCUUUUGCGGUGUGGGAUGGGCCCGCGGCCUAUCAGCUUGUUGGUGGGGUGAUGGCCUACCAAGGCGACGACGGGUAGCCGGCCUGAGAGGGUGGCCGGCCACGCUGGGACUGAGAUACGGCCCAGACUCCUACGGGAGGCAGCAGUGGGGAAUAUUGCACAAUGGGCGCAAGCCUGAUGCAGCGACGCCGCGUGAGGGAUGACGGCCUUCGGGUUGUAAACCUCUUUCAGCACCGACGAAGCGCAAGUGACGGUAGGUGCAGAAGAAGGACCGGCCAACUACGUGCCAGCAGCCGCGGUAACAC
rnacentral:rRNA from 1 species